GACGAACGCUGGCGGCGUGCUUAACACAUGCAAGUCGAACGGUAAGGCCCUUCGGGGUACACGAGUGGCGAACGGGUGAGUAACACGUGGGUAAUCUGCCCUGCACUUCGGGAUAAGCCUGGGAAACUGGGUCUAAUACCGGAUAGGACCACUGCCUGCAUGGGUGGUGGUGGAAAGCUUUUGCGGUGUGGGAUGGGCCCGCGGCCUAUCAGCUUGUUGGUGGGGUGAUGGCCUACCAAGGCGACGACGGGUAGCCGGCCUGAGAGGGUGACCGGCCACACUGGGACUGGGAUACGGCCCAGACUCCUACGGGAGGCAGCAGUGGGGAAUAUUGCACAAUGGGCGCAAGCCUGAUGCAGCGACGCCGCGUGAGGGAUGACGGCCUUCGGGUUGUAAACCUCUUUCAGCAUCGACGAAGCGAAAGUGACGGCAGGUGCAGAAGAAGGACCGGCCAACUACGUGCCAGCCGCCGCCGUAA
rnacentral:rRNA from 1 species